rnacentral:rRNA from 1 species
GGAUGAACGCUGGCGGCGUGCCUACUACAUGCAAGUCGAGCGAACGGACGAGAAGCUUGCUUCUCUGAUGUUAGCGGCGGACGGGUGAGUAACACGUGGAUAACCUACCUAUAAGACUGGGAUAACUUCGGGAAACCGGAGCUAAUACCGGAUAAUAUUUUGAACCGCAUGGUUCAAAAGUGAAAGACGGUCUUGCUGUCACUUAUAGCUGGAUCCGCGCUGCAUUAGCUAGUUGGUAAGGUAACGGCUUACCAAGGCAACGAUGCAUAGCCGACCUGAGAGGGUGAUCGGCCACACUGGAACUGAGACACGGUCCAGACUCCUACGCGAGGCAGCAGUAGGGAAUCUUCCGCAAUGGGCGAAAGCCUGACGGAGCAACGCCGCGUGAGUGAUGAAGGUCUUCGGAUCGUAAAACUCUGUUAUUAGGGAAGAACAUAUGUGUAAGUAACUGUGCACAUCUUGACGGUACCUAAUCAGAAAGCCACGGCUAACUACGUG